rnacentral:rRNA from 1 species
CUUAGAGUAAUGUCUAAGUAUCAUUAAGUGAAUACAUAGCUUAAUGAGGGGAACUCAGGGAACUGAAACAUCUAAGUACCUGAAGGAAGAGAAAGAAAUUCGAUUCCGUAAGUAGCGGCGAGCGAACGCGGAUUAGCCCAAACCAAUAAAGUUUUCUUUAUUGGGGUUGCGGACAUAUCAUAACGAAGAGGUAUCGUAAUUGAAGAGGUUUGGAAAGACCCACCACAGAAGGUAAUAGUCCUGUAUGUUAAACGAGAAGACUUCAGAUAUGAUCCAGAGUACCACGGGACACGUGAAACCCUGUGGGAAGCAGGAGGGACCACCCUCCAAGGCUAAAUACUACCUAGUGACCGAUAGCGUAUAGUACCGUGAGGGAAAGGUGAAAAGAACCCCGGGAGGGGAGUGAAAUAGAACCUGAAACCCUGCACUUACAAGCUGUGGAAGCACAUUUCUUGUGUGACCGCGUACUUUUUGUAGAACGGGCCAACGAGUUACGUUAAGUAGCAAGGUUAAGCACUUAAGGUGCGGAGCCGUAGCGAAAGCGAGUUUUAACUGAGCGUUCAGUUACUUGACGUAGACCCGAAACCGGGCGACCUACCCAUGAGCAGGAUGAAGCGAAAGUAAAAUUUCGUGGAGGUCCGAACCCACGAGCGUUGAAAAGCUCGGGGAUGACUUGUGGGUAGCGGUGAAAUUCCAAUCGAGCCCGGAGAUAGCUGGUUCUCCCCGAAAUAGCUUUAGGGCUAGCCUCAAGGUGAGAGAUACGGAGGUAGAGCACUGAAUGUCCUAGGGGGUAUUGCACCUACCGAAGACUAUCAAACUCCGAAUGCCGUCAUCUUAUACUUGGGAGUCAGACUGUGGGUGAUAAGAUUCAUAGUCGAAAGGGCAACAGCCCAGAUCGUCAGCUAAGGUCCCUAAAUGUAAGUUAAGUGGUAAAGGAUGUGGGAUUGCACAGACAACCAGGAUGUUGGCUUAGAAGCAGCCACUCAUUCAAAGAGUGCGUAAUAGCUCACUGGUCGAGUGAUCCUGCGCCGAAGAUUUCCGGGGCUAAAACUUACUACCGAAGCUACGGCAUCAGUAAUGAUGGGUAGGGGAGCUUCCCAUACGGGUUGAAGCAUGACCGUAAGGACAUGUGGACAGUAUGGGAGUGAGAAUGUUGGCAUGAGUAGCGAGAUGUGGGUGAGAAUCCCACAGGCCGUAAACCCAAGGUUUCCAGGGGAAGGUUCGUCCGCCCUGGGUUAGUCGGGACCUAAGCUGAGGCCGAAAGGCGUAGGUGAUGGACAACAGGUUGAUAUUCCUGUACUACCGAUAACCGUUUGAGAGAAGGGAUGACACAGUAGGAUAAGCUAAGCACACUGUUGGUUAUGUGUGCCCAAGCAUUGAGGCAGUCAAAGUAGGCAAAUCCGCUUUGAUAAUGCUGGGAUGUGAUGGGGAGCGAAAUUUAGUAGCGAAGUAGCUGAUUUCACACUGUCAAGAAAAGUCUCUAUCGAGGUUAAAGGUACCCGUACCGCAAACCGACACAGGUGGGUGAGGAGAGUAUCCUAAGGCCAGCGAGAGAACUGUUGUUAAGGAACUCGGCAAAAUGACCCCGUAACUUAGGGAUAAGGGGUGCCACCAUCAGGUGGCCGCAGAGAAUAGGCCCAAGCGACUGUUUACCAAAAACAUAGGUUUCUGCUAAGUCGCAAGACGAUGUAUAGGAGCUGACGCCUGCCCGGUGCUGGAAGGUUAAGGGGAUCUGUUAGAGCAAUCGAAGCAGUGAACUUAAGCCCCAGUAAACGGCGGCCGUAACUAUAACGGUCCUAAGGUAGCGAAAUUCCUUGUCGGGUAAGUUCCGACCCGCACGAAAGGCGUAACGAUUUGGGCACUGUCUCAACAACAGACUCGGUGAAAUUGUAAUUCCGGUGAAGAUGCCGGAUACCUGCGACAGGACGGAAAGACCCCAUGGAGCUUUACUGUAGCUUGACAUUGGGUCUUGGUACUACAUGUACAGGAUAGGUGGGAGGCUUUGAAACCAGGACGCCAGUUUUGGCGGAGCCAUCCUUGGGAUACCACCCUUGUAGUACUGGGACUCUAACCAUAGGCCAUGAAUCUGGUCUUGGGACACUGUCAGGUGGGCAGUUUGACUGGGGCGGUCGCCUCCCAAAAGGUAACGGAGGCGCUCAAAGGUUCUCUCAGUACGGUCGGAAAUCGUACGUAGAGUGUAAAGGCAAAAGAGAGCUUGAUUGCAAGACAUACAGGUCGAGCAAGGAUGAAAAUCGGACUUAGUGAUCCGGUGGUUCUGCGUGGAAGGGCCAUCGCUCAACGGAUAAAAGCUACCCUGGGGAUAACAGGCUUAUCUCCCCCAAGAGUCCACAUCGACGGGGAGGUUUGGCACCUCGAUGUCGGCUCAUCACAUCCUGGGGCUGUAGUAGGUCCCAAGGGUUGGGCUGUUCGCCCAUUAAAGUGGUACGCGAGCUGGGUUCAGAACGUCGUGAGACAGUUCGGUCCCUAUCCGUCGCAGGCGUAGGAAAUUUGAGAAGACCUGUCCUUAGUACGAGAGGACCGGGAUGGACGUACCUCUGGUGUACCAGUUGUCUGCCAAGGGCAUGGCUGGGUAGCUAUGUACGGAAUGGAUAAGCGCUGAAAGCAUCUAAGCGCGAAGCCAACUUCAAGAUAAGAUUUCCCACCGCAAGGGUAAGACUCCAGAAAGACUAUCUGGUUGAUAGGUCGAAGGUGUAAGUGCAGCAAUGUAUUUAGCUUAUCGAUACUAAUAGGUCGAGGACUUGACCAA